rnacentral:rRNA from 1 species
GUAGGUGGCAAGCGUUGUCCGGAAUUAUUGGGCGUAAAGCGCGCGCAGGCGGUUCUUUAAGUCUGAUGUGAAAGCCCACGGGCUCAACCGUGGAGGGUCAUUGGAAACUGGAGAACUUGAGUACAGAAGAGGAAAGCGGAAUUCCACGUGUAGCGGUGAAAUGCGUAGAGAUGUGGAGGAACACCAGUGGCGAAGGCGGCUUUCUGGUCUGUAACUGACGCUGAGGCGCGAAAGCGUGGGGAGCAAACAGGAUUAGAUACCCUGGUAGUCCACGCCGUAAACGAUGAGUGCUAAGUGUUAGGGGGUUUCCGCCCCUUAGUGCUGCAGCUAACGCAUUAAGCACUCCGCCUUGGGAGUACGGCCGCAAGGCUG